GCGCGAAAACUUUACAAUGCUGGCAACAGCGAUAAGGGAACCUCGAGUGCCAGGUUACAAAUCUGGCUGUCGAGAUGCCUAAAAAGCAUUUCAUAACAAGGGCCGGGCAAGACCGGUGCCAGCCGCCGCGGUAACACCGGCGGCUCGAGUGGUAACCGUUAUUAUUGGGUCUAAAGGGACUGUAGCCGGCCGGAUAAGUCUCUUGAGAAAUCUGGCAGCUUAACUGUCAGGCUUUCAGGAGAUACUGUCUGGCUCGAGGCCGGGAGAUGGGAGAGGUACUUCAGGGGUAGGGGUGAAAUCUUGUAAUCCUGGAAGGAGCACCAGUGGCGAAGGCGUCUCACCAGAACGGACCUGACGGCAAGGGACGAAAGCUAGGGGCACGAACC
rnacentral:rRNA from 1 species